rnacentral:rRNA from 1 species
GAUGAACGCUGGCGGCGUGCCUAAUACAUGCAAGUCGAGCGAACGGACGAGAAGCUUGCUUCUCUGAUGUUAGCGGCGGACGGGUGAGUAACACGUGGAUAACCUACCUAUAAGACUUGGAUAACUUCGGGAAACCGGAGCUAAUACCGGAUGAUAUUUUGAACCGCAUGGUUCAAGAGUGAAAGACGGUCUUGCUGUCACUUAUAGAUGGAUCCGCGCUGCAUUAGCUAGUUGGUAAGGUAACGGCUUACCAAGGCAACGAUGCAUAGCCGACCUGAGAGGGUGAUCGGCCACACUGGAACUGAGACACGGUCCAGACUCCUACGGGAGGCAGCAGUAGGGAAUCUUACGCAAUGGGCGAAAGCCUGACGGAGCAACGCCGCGUGAGUGAUGAAGGUCUUCGGAUCGUAAAACUCUGUUAUUAGGGAAGAACAUAUGUGUAAGUAACUGUGCACAUCUUGACGGUACCUAAUCAGAAAGCCACGGCUAACUACGUG